GCUGGGUGUAGUGGUGUGCACCUGUAAUCCCAGCUACUCAGGAGGCUGAGGUGGGAGAAUCGCUUGAACCCGGGAGGCAGAGGUUGCAGUGAGCCGAGAUCCCACCACUGCACUCCAGCCUGGGCAACAAAGUGAGAUUCCGUCUCAG
rnacentral:SRP_RNA from 2 species